rnacentral:rRNA from 1 species
AGAGUUUGAUCAUGGCUCAGAUUGAACGCUGGCGGAAUGCUUUACACAUGCAAGUCGAACGGCAGCACGGGAGCUUGCUCCUGGUGGCGAGUGGCGAACGGGUGAGUAAUACCUAGGAACAUGUCCAGUAAUGGGGGAUAACGCAGCGAAAGCUGUGCUAAUACCGCAUACGCCCUACGGGGGAAAGCGGGGGAUUCGUAAGAACCUCGCGUUAUUGGAGUGGCCUAGGCCUGAUUAGCUAGUUGGUGAGGUAAAGGCUCACCAAGGCGACGAUCAGUAGCUGGUCUGAGAGGAUGAUCAGCCACACUGGAACUGAGACACGGUCCAGACUCCUACGGGAGGCAGCAGUGGGGAAUUUUGGACAAUGGGGGAAACCCUGAUCCAGCCAUUCCGCGUGAGUGAAGAAGGCCUUCGGGUUGUAAAGCUCUUUCAGGAGGGAAGAAACGGUUGCAGCUAAUAUCUGCGACUAAUGACGGUACCUUCAGAAGAAGCACCGGCUAACUACGUGCCAGCAGCCGCGGUAAUACGUAGGGUGCGAGCGUUAAUCGGAAUUACUGGGCGUAAAGCGUGCGCAGGCGGUUUUGUAAGUCAGAUGUGAAAGCCCCGGGCUCAACCUGGGAACUGCGUUUGAAACUACAAGGCUAGAGUGUAGCAGAGGGGGGUAGAAUUCCACGUGUAGCAGUGAAAUGCGUAGAGAUGUGGAGGAAUACCGAUGGCGAAGGC